rnacentral:rRNA from 1 species
UACAUAGGUCUCAAGCGUUGUUCGGAUUCAUUGGGCGUAAAGGGUGCGUAGGCGGCUCGGUAAGUCGGGUGUGAAAUCUCGGGGCUUAACUCCGAAACUGCAUUCGAUACUGCCGUGCUUGAGGACUGGAGAGGAGACUGGAAUUCACGGUGUAGCAGUGAAAUGCGUAGAUAUCGUGAGGAAGACCAGUGGCGAAGGCGGGUCUCUGGACAGUUCCUGACGCUGAGGCGCGAAAGCGUGGGGAGCGAACAGG